rnacentral:rRNA from 1 species
GUGGGGAAUAUUGGGCAAUGGGGGAAACCCUGACCCAGCAACGCCGCGUGAAGGAAGAAGGUUUUCGGAUCGUAAACUUCUAUCCUUGGUGAAGAUAAUGACGGUAGCCAAGAAGGAAGCCCCGGCUAACUACGUGCCAGCAGCCGCGGUAAUACGUAGGGGGCAAGCGUUGUCCGGAAUGAUUGGGCGUAAAGGGCGCGUAGGCGGCCUGGUAAGUCUGGAGUGAAAGUCCUGCUUUUAAGGUGGGAAUUGCUUUGGAUACUGUCGGGCUUGAGUGCAGGAGAGGUAAGCGGAAUUCCCGGUGUAGCGGUGAAAUGCGUAGAGAUCGGGAGGAACACCAGUGGCGAAGGCGACUUACUGGACUGUAACUGACGCUGAGGCGCGAAAGUGUGGGGAGCAAACAGGAUUAGAAACCCCAGUAGUCC